rnacentral:rRNA from 1 species
UACGGAGGAUCCAAGCGUUAUCCGGAUUCAUUGGGUUUAAAGGGUGCGUAGGCGGAAUGAUAAGUCAGCGGUGAAAUCCCUCGGCUUAACCGAGGAACUGCCGUUGAUACUGUCAAUCUUGAGUACAUUUGAUGUGGGCGGAAUGUGUCAUGUAGCGGUGAAAUGCUUAGAUAUGACACAGAACACCGAUUGCGAAGGCAGCUCACAAACUGUAACUGACGCUGAGGCACGAAAGCGUGGGUAGUCAAAC